rnacentral:rRNA from 1 species
GUCUACGGCCAUACCACCCUGAGAACGCCCGAUCUCGUCUGAUCUCGGAAGCUAAGCAGGGUCGGGCCUGGUUAGUACUUGGAUGGGAGACCGCCUGGGAAUACCAGGUGCUGUAAGCU